rnacentral:snoRNA from 1 species
AGCCUCCUAGUGCUUACCACAGGCUAUGUUCUUACACUGACUAUAUAGAAAGAGAAGGGAACAUAAACCUGUCCCACCCCUGGGCCUGGUCUGUAUUGUGAAUGGGAAGACAUGA